rnacentral:rRNA from 1 species
AUACGGAGGGUGCAAGCGUUGUCCGGAUUUAUUGGGUUUAAAGGGUGCGUAGGUGGUUUUUAAGUCAGUGGUGAAAGCCUACAGCUUAACUGUAGAGGUGCCAUUGAUACUGGGGAACUUGAGUAUGGACGAGGUAGGCGGAAUUUGUGGUGUAGCGGUGAAAUGCAUAGAUACCACAAGGAACACCGAUAGCGAAGGCAGCUUACUGGGCCAUAACUGACACUGAGGCACGAAAGCGUGGGGAGCGAACAGGAUUAGAAACCCUUGUAGUCC